AAGUCGUAACAAGGUUUCCGUAGGUGAACCUGCGGAAGGAUCAUUAACGAGUUUGAAUAGGGUUGAUGCUGGCCUUCCGAGGCAUGUGCUCGCCCUUCUCAUCCAUCUACACCUGUGCACCUUUGUGGUCUAGGCGUUACGGUCCGUUGGACUGGAAGCCAGGCUACGUUUUAUUACACACGCUUUUUAGUUCAGAAUGUAAACAUCGCGAUAAAACGCAUUAAAUACAACUUUCAACAACGGAUCUCUUGGCUCUCGCAUCGAUGAAGAACGCAGCGAAACGCGAUAAGUAAUGUGAAUUGCAGAAUUCAGUGAAUCAUCGAAUCUUUGAACGCACCUUGCGCUCCUUGGUAUUCCGAGGAGCAUGCCUGUUUGAGUGUCAUGAAUAUCUCAAUCUCUUGUUCUUUGUUGAACAGAGCUUUGGACUUGGAGGUUUUUGCCGGCGUCAUUGUCGGCUCCUCUCUAAAUGCAUUAGCUGGAUCUUUCGAGAAAGCAGCCUCGGUGUGAUAUUUGUCUACGCCGUGUGUCUCUUACUCGCUUCAGUUUGCUACCCUGCCUUGCAAAAGGUGGUCGCGUGGCUUGGAGAUCUGGCUCAUAAAAACCCUCAUUCAUUUAAUCUGACCUCAAAUCAGGUAGGACUACCCGCUGAACUUAAGCAUAUCAAUAAGCGGAGGAAAAGAAACUAACAAGGAUUCCCCUAGUAACUGCGAGUGAAGCGGGAAAAGCUCAAAUUUAAAAUCUGGUGGUCUUUGGCCAUCCGAGUUGUAGUCUGGAGAAGCGUCUUCCGCGUUGGACCGUGUAAAAGUUUCUUGGAAUAGAACAUCAUAGAGGGUGAGAAUCCCGUCUUUGACACGGACUACCAGUGCUUUGUGAUGCGCUCUCAAAGAGUCGUGUUGUUUGGGAAUGCAGCACAAAAUGGGUGGUAUAUUCCACCUAAAGCUAAAUAUUGGCGAGAGACCGAUAGCGAACAAGUACCGUGAGGGAAAGAUGAAAAGCACUUUGGAAAGAGAGUUAAACAGUACGUGAAAUUGUUGAAAGGGAAACGCUUGAAGUCAGUCGCGUUGGCCGGGACUCAGCCUUGCUCUUUUGCUUGGUGUACUUCCUGGUUGACGGGCCAGCAUCGAUUUUGACCGUUGGAUAGAGUUCAGUGGAAUGUGGCACCUCCGGGUGUGUUAUAGCCUCUGUUCGCAUGCAACGGUUGGGAUCGAGGAUCGCAGCACGCCUUUAUGGCCGGGGUUCGCCCACGUACGUGCUUAGGAUGCUGGCGUAAUGGCUUUAAACGACC
rnacentral:rRNA from 1 species